rnacentral:tRNA from 1 species
UCCUGGUUAGUUCAGUUGGGACAGCGCUCCACUGGAAAGGGAGAGGUCCCUGGUUCGAUACCAGGACCAGGCA